GUCUACGGCCAUGCCAUCCUGAACAAGCCCGAUCCCGUCUGAUCUCGGAAGCUAAUCAGGGUCAAGCCUGGUUAGUACUUGGAUGGGAAACCACCUAGGAAGACCAGGUGCUGUAAGUG
rnacentral:rRNA from 1 species